rnacentral:rRNA from 1 species
AAUACAGGGGGGGCAAGCGUUGUUCGGAAUUACUGGGCGUAAAGGGCUCGUAGGCGGCCAACUAAGUCCGACGUGAAAUCCCAAAGCUUAACUUUGGAACUGCGUCGGAUACUGGAUGGCUUGAAUUCGGGAGAGGGAUGCAGAAUUCCAGGUGUAGCGGUGAAAUGCGUAGAUAUCUGGAGGAAUACCGGUGGCGAAGGCGGCAUCCUGGACCGACAUUGACGCUGAGGAGCGAAAGCUAGGGGAGCAAACGGG